GACGAACGCUGGCGGCGUGCCUAAUACAUGCAAGUUGAGCGCUGAAGGUUGGUACUUGUACCAACUGGAUGAGCAGCGAACGGGUGAGUAACGCGUGGGGAAUCUGCCUUUGAGCGGGGGACAACAUUUGGAAACGAAUGCUAAUACCGCAUAAAAACUUUAAACACAAGUUUUAAGUUUGAAAGAUGCAAUUGCAUCACUCAAAGAUGAUCCCGCGUUGUAUUAGCUAGUUGGUGAGGUAAAGGCUCACCAAGGCGAUGAUACAUAGCCGACCUGAGAGGGUGAUCGGCCACAUUGGGACUGAGACGCGGCCCAAACUCCUACGGGAGGCAGCAGUAGGGAAUCUUCGGCAAUGGACGAAAGUCUGACCGAGCAACGCCGCGUGAGUGAAGAAGGGUGUCGGAUCGUAAAACUCUGUUGGUAGAGAAGAACGUUGGUGAGAGUGGAAAGCUCAUCAAGUGACGGUAACUACCCAGAAAGGGACGGCUAACUACGUG
rnacentral:rRNA from 1 species